GAUGAAGCAGUUAGCUUACCGUGUACUACUAUACUUGCUUUUAUAGCUCUUCCCUUGUUUUCUAAAAGCAAGUUCAAUAGUAUAGCCAGCUACUAGCUCCAAUUCAUCUAUAGGCAAUCUAAUAGCCAAUUCAUAUAAUAGUUACCUACAAAACAUCAAUACAUCCCACAUACCAUACACACAUUUUGUCUUGGAAUCCGUGUGCAGCUGGCUACAAAUUAGUAGGUCACCUCCCUUCCCUCUCCUCUCUUUAUCUCUUUAAAAUAUGUUUAGAGCUAGCUUAUAGCCUACUAUUGUAUCUGCUCUAAUAUGUUGCUUCCAAUCUAUGAGAUGCAACACAAUUAAGGGCCCGUUUAGUUUUCAAAAUUUUUUCAAAAAACAUCACAUCGAAUCUUUGGACAGAUAAAUGGAGCAUUAAAUAUGUUGAGAGUAAAACACAAAAAUUAGGCUAAAGAUGAAAGCUGAAUUAAGAACAGGUUAUCUCCUGAGAUAAUCUGAACAAAACAGAACAAGAUUUUGCUUGCUGAAAAUAAGCUACAUACAGAAGCUCCUCCUAUGCACUCAUUAAUCCUCAAAGACAACAGUAAAGCAUGUCUUUAUAUAUUCACAAGACAAAACUCAACUUAUUCAGAUUACUUGACAAUAGGAAAGAAUGCAGUUCACACAAUUGCUACACCAAAAACUUAAUAGCAAAUUAUUUGCAUAGCUAAACAUGCAAGAAAUCUUAACUCAGAAUUGGUCUGCUCCCAGAACAAGAACUAAACAGAAAGCUGGAGAACUUUCUACUGCAUGAUCUCACAAACAAAGUGCUGAACUCAUCAGAUGCAGGCACAAAACAUGUACUGCAUAAAUUAAAUUUAGAAUAAAACAAUCAAAAGUUAAUUAUACCACUAGAAAUUCAGAAUAUAUCUCUGAACCAAAGAUCACAAUAACUCAAAAACACAUUGGUACUGGUAAACUAGUACCACAAAACUAAUUACCAAACAAAUUUGUUCUAGUUUAACAAAGAAGAGAGUUAGCGUAGUGUUCUCACGAUGCAACGAACAAGCUCGUCGACAGUGGUGAAGCGCGUCAAGGACGCUGUCCCAGAGAAAAUCACAGCCCGUCUAUGCCUCGGGUCUCCUCCCGUGUUUUCCCGGAGAUACGACACCAACUCAGCGAACGCGGCAAGGCGAGCGAUGAGCUGAGGCGUGGGGAAUGCAGCAAAGCAACUCGAAAGACACAAGAACUAAGCAAGAUCAAAAUGUUAGAGCCAUUGGCUACAGCUGCUUCCCAAGAUGGAGACGAUCUCUUCUUAUAUAUGCACCCAACCCAGCCAUAACCCACGAUAAAUCCGCCAUGAACCACUCAACGACGUGAGUCGUGGACGCCAAAAACGGAUCAAGGUUGCGGCUGUUGUGCAUAGCGGAUGGAUCGGCCCUCAAGUUUCUAGCUUUCUGUUGAGAUUGGAUAGAGCAGUGAAGAGAAGGAAACACGGAGAAGAUGAACAGACUCCUGGAGAAAGCAGGAGAACG
rnacentral:lncRNA from 1 species